UGCUCCCGGCCCCCGCCGCCCAGCAGCAGGGGCCCCUGGUAGGCGCCGUCGCGGCCCGGGGGGCUGCUGCCCGGCGGGCUGUGGGAGUAGGAGAAGCCCGACGGCGGGUGGGGGCUGCCGGCGUUGAAGGCAGCGGCCUCGCCGCUGCUCUGCCCCCAUCCCGGGGGGUUGGCGAGGUGGCUCUGGUGCGGUUCGCAGCCUUGCAGAUUGGAUCAGCCAGGCUAAAGAAAAAUAGAGACAGCCAGAGCGCCAGCGCCGCAGCCCUCGCUGCACGAGGGGCACGGGCGUCGGGGAGGUUCAGAAAUGCAUACCCGUUUGCAGAGGUCACCACCCCAGAAGGUUUCCAUAGUUCUCAUGAUUGCAGAAAUGCCUUUUGAUAUGAGCGGUCUAAUUCCACGCAACUGGAGUUGAGAUUUGAGAUAUAAAUGCAGCCCAGUUAAAAUGAAUAGCUGCAAACCCGUGAGCUCUUGACUCUGACCUGCUUUCUGCCUAAAGAGCACACCGGGAAAGCAACAGCUACAUCCCUCCCUUGUUGGAAUCUGAUGAAUCCCUGUAAGGACGUUAUUUGAAAGCUGAAACAAUCAAAUGUGUUCUUCCCCAUGCAUUAAAGUAUAAUAUCCAUAUACAAAGGCAAGUAUUCAAAUGAGUGGCACAGAACAGAUCUCUUUAACACAGUAUUAAAGCAAUCUGUUUAUAAUCCUGAAGGAGCCCGGGAUUUCCCCGCAGCUCUUUGGUUGCAGGGAUGAAACAACCCUGGAGUGUUGCAAAGUUGGGUAGGGAGGCUUUUACUGCACUAUCAAGUCUAAGUGCAGAAAUAAGAAUGUAUUUUCUCCUUCCUUCUGAUUAAUAGUUCCAGUCAACAUCAGCUAACUUAUUCCUAUUGACAGAUCUAUGAAAUACUUGCAGAAUCAACAGCUAUAAAAUAGAUGGCAAUGCACUGGCACCAUAAAGCCAUAACGUUUGUGUCUAUUGCAAUCAAGGCUUUUAAAACCUAAUUACUUCUGGGUGACAUCAGUCAUAUAUUUUCAUGUGAAAUUACAGUGGCAUGCAAGUGCCCAGCAAAAUAAAAGAAAACAAAUGAUGUCCUAUAAUAACGGAGAAGUGAACUAUCAUUUUUAAUCUGGCAUGAAAGCUCCAACUGAUGAAGCUUAAUACAACUUGUUAAAACACCUAACAAGCGAGGAAGUGAUUAAGUAUUGUCCUUUUGCCUCUGGGAAAUGGGAUCUGCUCUCAGCAAGCACGGAGUGACUGAGAUAGCCCUUUGGAGCUGAUUGAGCUGCACAUAAAGUAACUUCUAAUGAUCUCAGUCCACUUUGAGCCAUAAAGAUUUAGAAGGGACAAUAUUUUAGAAAUGAUCAAGUUCCACUCUUUUUAUUAGUGAGGAUAAAACACCUUUGUGGAGGAAAUUAAACAGAAUAAAUUGCUUAAGCCUUCUGCAGCUUCCAUCAUUUAGCGGCGUCGGAAGAGCGCAGCCCGGCAGACACCAAGGGGGAGCAGGAGCUCAUCCGCAGCGGAGUGAAGUGAGGGGAAAACCUGCCUUUUGCUGCCAAACUGAAACACGAGGGGUUUCCAGGCUGAGUAAAGUCCUGCCUCUGGUAAAAUCCUUCUGAACAACUCUAUUGACCUGAUGUUUUUAUAGAAGGGCGUGAAGACACCCCACAGCCUCCACCUCUGUUACCUUUCCAGCAUGCCUGUGUUAUGUCCCUCCGUCCCCACGGGGAAACUGAGGCACUCCGGAACCGCGGUGAGGUUUGGGGCUGUGCAGGGCACGCAGAGCCUGAGGCUGCCCAGGCUCCCUCUGCAGCCGGGGCGAAGGAGGAGCGUCCUUCGGAGGAGCACGCAGAGGGCUCCAGGGAUGCUUCUGCCCUGCUCUCCAAAUUGCAGCAUUACUGCCAAAUCGCCUCCAGUGCUAAUGUCUCCACAGGGACAAACCUGCAGAAGUUCCCAGUUCCUGCAACGGACCAUAGCAGAACCUGCUACAGUUUGGUCUUCUGACUUUUAUUAAGGACGCGUUUUUCAGGAGAUGUUUCUUUUAUGGUGCUUAAAUUAAGUUUUCAAGGUUAAUUGUCCAAUUUGAUGUCUUUAGUUCAAUAAAUAAUUCAGAGACAGUUUACGUCCUCCUAUGUAAAGAUGCCUACUGAGGUUACAGUCGCAGCCCGGCACUUCCUCUGAUGUGCUAUUAGCUAAUGUGCUGAAGGUUUUUCCACCUCAUUUUGGAAGCAUUUAUGCUCUUCGAGAGGACAUUUGAAUGGAACUGAAGUUCACUGGAAGGGACCGUAGUGAAGACAGCCAAAGCCACCCAGCUAUCGAUAAAGUCACUGCCAACGUCCGUCGUCCAGUGAUUUUCCUGUUGUCAGCAGCCAAACAGCAAUAGCACAGCAAUAACUUCAGGUCUUAACAACAACCCACCAGACUUCAGUUCAGCAGGUCAAAUCGAGGAGCCUUUUACAUGCUCUUUGGGGACUCUUUGCAGAGCAGCUAACUCAGACAACUCUUUUCUGUGAGACUCUGAGUUGUUACCAGAGCUGAUAGAGACGCCGUUGGAAAUUUCACGUCGCUAAACUGCUGUGCGCUAUAUAUGAAGUUGCUUCUCUUAGUCACGUUUUUAUAGCUCUCUUGCAAACAAUCUACAAGACUGGUUUUCCUAUAGGCUUUUUAUAAUGGGAUCAUAACCCUGCUGGGACUCCCAGGUACCAAUGCAAAAAUCCCCUAUAAAUCAUAAAUAUUCCUGCGGUGCCUUAGUGUGAGUUCCAGGGCUGGGGGAGUCCCAGGGGAGCGCUGCUGGGGACGGUGCUUACUCCUCCCCACCCAGGGACCAGGAGCUGGCAAAAGAGAGGGAUGCCUCUUCUUUUAUCAACAUUGGAGGAGUCUUGGGGGACUGAUUAGUUAAUGUCGGUACCAUGCUACCAAUAUAUAAAGCAAAAGAUUCGCAGUGCUUACUAAAUACCGGUCUUUUCCCUGUUAAUCAAACUCCAUGCUGAGUUGACAGCAUCAGGAUUUUCAGCAAAUCCACCAGCCCCAAUAUCUGUAGGUGCUUUAUAAUCUCAAACCCCAUCAUCCCUCUCAAGUACCACUGCAGGUCUGCUGGCACUGCGCUCGCCUGCGGGUCAGUAGGUCGUGGGGGAUUCGGGUAAGAGCUGUAGCUGGAUCAGUCCCGGUGCUGACACUGCAAUGCAGCUCCGAUGCAGAGCUCCCGGCAGAGGGACAUUGAUUCAAUGGUACAGUUGUCGUCCUUUAAAUAAAGGUCACGUUGCAGGGGCUGGCUCUGCUCGUGUGCGCGUGUACCUGGAGGGGAAGGCUGGAGCGGGAGUUUGGGUAAGAGCGAGCUGCUGCGCCCUGCGUUAGUGCCAGGGGUGGGGACACGCUGGGAUGGAGCCCUUGGUCCGUUCGCACCGUGCUGAGGACGCAGAGCUCUCCCAGGGCAACCAGCCGUAGGGCACAGGUAUGCCCUCGCUCUGCAAGAACCUGGGGGGUCAGCAGAGCAAAAACUGGUACCUAGAGGAUGCUAUUUCCAUAGUUGUCUGGUUACCCCACGACCUAUUUUUUGAUCUACUCGUGGAGGGGAAAAAAAAAAUACAAAGAUCUGAAUUUUGCCUGCUAGAGCAAAUUAUGGCUACAAAUAUUCUCACUUAAAAAAAAAAAUGCAGCUAUUGACAACGUGGCUCAUAGCUGAGCAGGGCUUGCAGAACAGCAGAUUCUGAGGUUUGUAACCGGCAAUGUAUUCAGGAGGCAUCUGAUCAAAGCUAUAAAGGGGGGAAAAAAUCAUCAAGGCAACAUUGUAAAAGAUGAUAGUUGUUAAAUCUAAUUUCAAUACUGUGUGUGCAUAACCUCUAACUCGAAGGCAUCUAAGCAUUCCAGACAUGGCCGGUGCAUUGUAAUUUUUGCAUCGUUUCACAUUACUCACAAGGUACAUUAGAUGGACACUGAAGGAUGAAUUAUUCUUUUCAGCAAAACAUUUUUGUGGAGUAAGUAAAUUUAUCUUGCGGGGAGAGUAAAAGGAAGAAAUAUGGCAUUGAAAUGUGCAGAUCUGAGUUGAACACAUCUCUCUUUUACAGGGAAACCAUGAUUUAAGUGCACUCUAUUACUAAUGUUUAAUAAAAGCCAUAAUUCAGAAUGUCAGGCUGAGGCUGUGUGCAUUGAAACUAUG